CCCGCAACGAGCGCAACCCUUAUCCUUUGUUGCCAGCGCGUGAUGGCGGGAACUCAAAGGAGACUGCCGGUGAUAAACCGGAGGAAGGUGGGGAUGACGUCAAGUCAUCAUGGCCCUUACGAGUAGGGCUACACACGUGCUACAAUGGCGCAUACAAAGAGAAGCGACCUCGCGAGAGCAAGCGGACCUCACAAAGUGCGUCGUAGUCCGGAUCGGAGUCUGCAACUCGACUCCGUGAAGUCGGAAUCGCUAGUAAUCGUGGAUCAGAAUGCCACGGUGAAUACGUU
rnacentral:rRNA from 1 species